GACUGUUAGGGUGAUCUGGCUGCAAGACUUGCUGACCCAUUGAUCACCAGGGCUGAUCUGACUUGCUAGGUAAGGUUCCCCUUCCUUCCUCAUGAUUCCAGCUGCCUCUCUCCCAAAGCUGUACACUCAGAGGAUGAUCACCCCAGAGAAAAGGAGCAUAACAUUCUUUUAUCUAGAGUAUUCCAUAGCUACAGUCCCCUGCUAGAAGCCCCAAACAAGCUCAAGGCCACAAGUGCAAAAUCAUCUGUCAUUUCAGAGCUCUCAUCUUCAGCAAUUGCACUUUUGUAUUUUUAA
rnacentral:snRNA from 1 species